UACGGAGGAUGCGAGCGUUAUCCGGAUUUAUUGGGUUUAAAGGGUGCGUGGGCGGACGCUUAAGUCAGCGGUAAAAUUGCGGGGCUCAACCUCGUCGAGCCGUUGAAACUGGGUGCCUUGAGUGGGCGAGAAGUACGCGGAAUGCGUGGUGUAGCGGUGAAAUGCAUAGAUAUCACGCAGAACUCCGAUUGCGAAGGCAGCGUACCGGCGCCCUACUGACGCUGAAGCACGAAGGCGUGGGUAUCGAACAGG
rnacentral:rRNA from 1 species